rnacentral:rRNA from 1 species
CACGUAGGGUGCGAGCGUUGUCCGGAAUUAUUGGGCGUAAAGAGCUCGUAGGCGGUGUGUCGCGUCGGCCGUGAAAACCUGCAGCUUAACUGUGGGCUUGCGGUCGAUACGGGCAUCACUGGAGUUCGGCAGGGGAGACUGGAACUCCUGGUGUAGCGGUGAAAUGCGCAGAUAUCAGGAGGAACACCGGUGGCGAAGGCGGGUCUCUGGGCCGAUACUGACGCUGAGGAGCGAAAGCGUGGGGAGCGAACGGG